rnacentral:lncRNA from 1 species
UCUCUGCGUUUAUUCAUGAAAAGCGUUUAAACUGCCGACAUUUACCGAUAUUUGGCUGUGCUGAGUUCUUGGGGGAAAACUAGCAAUAACAUAUACCCAAAGGAAACAAUUUUAUACAACUUCAGUGUGUUUAAAAUUCAGAAGAAUAUUGAAGUUACCUCCUACAGAACAUAGCAGCAAAUGGACACGUCUGACUUUGAGAAUUUGUCUGAAGAAGAAAUCAGGGCCCUGGUCCUGAAAGCAACACAGUCAGUUGAGAAAUGUCCCAGUGUUAAACGGAAGCGUUCAACUAGGAAAUGUAAAAUUAAUUUUGUCGAAGUAAUCACUGAAAUAUCUCGAAGAGUAGAUGGAAUUUGCCAGAAAGAUAUUCUUGUUGCUCCGAAAGCCUGUUAAUAUUUUAUUUAUUUAUUAAUUUUUUUUACAAUUUCUAUUUUUUCAUUUCUUUUCGUUUCUGUGUUAAUUACUGGUUGGCACACUAGCAGAACUGGUAGAGCAACAGGUUAAAUGUCUGGCUCUAUUUAUUUAAAUGCAAUCUUUUAUGUUUGAGUUUUAAUGCUGUUGAGGUUGAACUUUGCCUUUCAGUCUUUCACCAGUUGAUAAAACAAGUACCAGUCAUGUACUGGGGUCAUGUAUUGAUUAUCACCAGCCUAAGUUACAAAUGCUUUUUCGUUAUUAUUUAAAAUGUUCUCAAAACUGUUCUUGAUUUUAUGUAAUAUAUAUAAAUAUUUGAGAGGAAUUAACCAAAAACUGGUUGGAAAAAAAUUCCUGGAUUGAAAUUUCUAAAUUUCUGAGAUUAUUUAUUUUGCUGUAAAUAAGAUUAUUUUUCAAAAUUAA